UCGCAAUGCCCGAAAGGGUGACGAAGCGACGCCGCGUGUGGGAAGAAGGCCUUCGGGUUGUAAACCACUGUCGGGAGUUAGGAAAUGUAAGGGUGCUAAUAGUAUCCUUACUUGACUAAGGCUCCGGAGGAAGCCACGGCUAACUCUGUGCCAGCAGCCGCGGUAAUACAGAGGCGGCAAGCGUUGUUCGGAAUUAUUGGGCGUAAAGAGCACGUAGGCGGCCUUGUAAGUCAGUUGUGAAAGCCUUCUGCUUAACGGAAGAACAGCAGCUGAUACUGCAAGGCUAGAGUGCGGAAGGGGAGAGUGGAACUUCUGGUGGAGCGGUGAAAUGCGUAGAUAUCAGAAGGAACACCGGCGGCGAAGGCGACUCUCUGGUCCGUAACUGACGCUGAGUGUGCGAAAGCUAGGGGAGCAAACGAGAUUAGAUACCCCGGUAGUCCUAGCCGUAAACGAUGGGCACUAA
rnacentral:rRNA from 1 species